rnacentral:rRNA from 1 species
UACGAGGGGUGGCAAGCGUUGCUCGGAAUUAUUGGGCGUAAAGGGUAGGUAGGUGGUCUCAUUUGUCUGGGGUGAAAUCCUUGAGCUCAACUCCAGAACUGCCUUCGAUACUGGAGAGCUUGAGUCCGGGAGAGGUGAGUGGAACUGCGAGUGUAGAGGUGAAAUUCGUAGAUAUUCGCAAGAACACCAGUGGCGAAGGCGGCUCACUGGCCCGGUACUGACGCUGAGGUGCGAAAGCGUGGGGAGCAACAGG